AAACCAUGAUGAGGACACUCUAAGAUGAGAUCUUUGAAACGUUCCAUGCAUCAAGAGACUGAUUCAUUGGGUCGCUGGCGAAACUGAAGAUUGUCGUUCCUAAGCUU
rnacentral:snoRNA from 1 species